rnacentral:rRNA from 1 species
UACGUAGGGACCGAGCGUUGUCCGGAAUCAUUGGGCGUAAAGAGCGCGCAGGCGGUCGUGCAAGUCGCGUGUGAAAGCCCCCGGCUCAACUGGGGAGGGUCACGCGAUACUGCUCGACUCGAAGGCAGGAGAGGGAAGUGGAAUUCCCGGUGUAGUGGUGAAAUGCGUAGAUAUCGGGAGGAACACCAGUGGCGAAGGCGACUUCCUGGCCUGUUCUUGACGCUGAGGCGCGAAAGCUAGGGUAGCAAACGGG